GAAUGAAGACUGGCGUUAGCCUCGAGGCAGUAGCGAAGAUUGGAGCUUGGAUCAGUGCUGAGCUUGGCCGUGAGAACGAUAGCAGAGCCGGGAAGGCAACCGUCAGCAGGCUUCAAGGAUAGAUUUUAUUUUUAUUUAAAGUUGCAAUUCCCAGUCAUCAUAAUCUCCCCCAUCCACCCUUUUGUUCGAUGAAAAAUAUCCUUGUCCUUGCUCUCAUAACUUUGACUUGAAGUACCCUCCAUGAUUCACGGAUGAUGUCCUGGGCCAGCAGAUUGUAUAUAGUUAAGAACAGACAAUUCCCAUUGCAGUGUAUGCAG
rnacentral:snoRNA from 1 species